GGAAUCUCUACGUUGCUUCUUCUAUUCUAUUAUUUUGACGGGAAUUAAUAGCAAAUUCUCUCUUCCUCUUUCUUCUUCUUCUUCUUCUUCUUCCUUUCUCGACUUUGUACGAAUUAAUAGCAAAUUCGCAUCAUCAAUCUCCGAUCAUCUUCCUUCCGUUCAUCUGCUUUCCAUGGUCUUCUCCCCGAUUCUGCGUUUUUCUCUGAUGAAAAUCUAUUGAAACUCCGAUCUCCAGUUCGUUUCUCGUAGGGAUUAUUACGACGAAAUCGCACCAAGCUGAUGAUGUAGAAGAAUCUCAUAGUCUCAGGGAUUCGAUUCAGUGUAAAAUCAACCAUCCUAGAUCGGAAAUGAAUUGAAUCGGCUGCAAAUAGCAACGGUUGGGUCUAGUUAUAUCUCUUGGGAGGUAAACUCAGGAACAUUUACAUGGUCAAAUCAUAGUCUGUCACAGAGGAAGAAGUCUCCCUUCCAUCUUCUUACGAAGCAACCUCUUCAGCAUUUCUUCGUCUGCUGACUGAGCGAGCACAAAUGUUUCUUCUUUAACUCCUGAUGACCACCAUAUCCUGAGUAAAACAGCCAGACAGCUUUUCUCUCAUCCAUGUUGCAUUGGAUGAUCAUGCGAAUAUGGUGGGUCUCCAUCUGAUCAUUUACAAUCAGUAUACCAGAUCAAAUCAGAAGAUGCAUACAAUCAAGGUUUGAGAAGAAGACCCUUAUUUAAACCCUUUUAAUGUUUUUACAUGUCACAAAACUAUUAAAGCUUGUGUGUGUUAUAUUAACCAACCCUCUUAUUAUUUCUAGAAUUAAAGUUGUAAUGAUUCUUGAUAUUAUUAUCAUCAGACCACAAGAAUUUAAUGGUGAAUAAACUAUUAUUCU